UACGAAGGGUGCAAGCGUUGUUCGGAAUUAUUGGGCGUAAAGCGCACGUAGGCGGUUGGGUAAGUCUGUCUGUGAAAGCCCGGGGCUCAACCCCGGGACUGCAGGGGAUACUGCUCGACUGGAGACAAGCAGAGGUUGGUAGAAUUCCGGGUGUAGCGGUGGAAUGCGUAGAGAUCCGGAGGAAUACCAGAGGCGAAGGCGGCCAACUGGGCUUGUUCUGACGCUGAGGUGCGAAAGCGUGGGGAGCGAACAGG
rnacentral:rRNA from 1 species